rnacentral:lncRNA from 1 species
ACCAUCCAAAUCACCCAAUUUCAUAUCUAGUUUACUUUGUUUUGCAAUCUGUUUAGUUUAAUUAAUUUCAUCCAAAUCAAUCCCCCCUUUAAUUAAGUGUGUUAGAUUAGUUAGGAAAGUGUUUAAAUCUGUCCAAUUUAGUGUUUUGAGUCUUACUAGUCCUAAAUUCGUCCAAUUAACUCCCUAGAGUCAGUUUGGAGUCAAUUUCACUUGUUUGUUCUAUUUUGAGUAGUUUGAGUCAAUGUUAAGUCUUAAGUGUUUAGUUUUGUGUUUCUAAGUCUAGUUUUGUGUUUUUGAGUCAUAUUUGUGUGGAUUAGCAGCCCUAGUUAAUCCCGGGUCUAGAACGAUCCCUACUUGCUUAAUACUACAAUUACAUGUUUAAUAGGGUUUAAUUUGUGUGUCGAGUUAAAAUUCUGAUAGGAGCAUAUUUAUGCGCCUUAGUUAGCUAGUUCUUAUGCAUUUUCGUUAUGUUUUCGUCGUUAAAGUAGUCUUUUGAUCUACUUUCAUGUGUUUUCAGGCUUAAAGGGCAUAUGACAUAAAAGGAUGCAAAUUGGAGCCUUUUGGAGCAAAAUGGAGCUUAGAUUGGAACGUACAUGCUUGGAGCACAAGGAAUGGACGAGUUUAAAGGGCAAAGGAGCUUAAGAAAUGAAGAAAUGAAUGUGAAGAACAAAGAAUUCAGAAUUAGAAACCAAAGUUUCUAAAGUUGGAAGUUUCUAUUCUUGGAGGUUUCCAUUUCCGAGAGUUUCUAUUCUUGGUUUUGGACUUUCUAGAAGCCCUAUCUACAAACCCUAACCCUAGCCCACUAAUUUGCCGCACCUAGGCCUUUAAAAUUUCUGAUUUCCUUGCCUUGCAAGGCAUUCUAGAAGCCUAAACCCUAGCCCACUAAACCAGCCGAACCCUAGGCCUUUUCCCUUGCAAAUUCUGAUUGUUUUAACCUAUUUUCUGGUGGAUUUGGGUUUCUAGAAACCCUAAUCUGAUUGCUAGGGUUUUUAAGUGCCUAUAUAUACUCUCUUAAACCUCUUGGCCGAAUCUAUCACCUCCCAUAUUCAUUCUACACGCCAAAACCCUAGUUCUAGUUCUUGCCGCAGCCUUCCAUCCCCAAACUCCCAACUUUCUGCCCAAAUUCAACCUUGCCGCAACCUUCCAUUCAAAUAACCAUUCAUCCACCAUAGCCGCACCUUUCCACCACCAUCACCACCUCGUGCAGCCACCAAAGGAGGAGAAAGAAGGAGUGCCGUGCAGUCCAAAGGAGGAAGACACCUUGCACAUGCAAUCUGCCAUUAGUGGAGUGUUUGGAGUUCUUUCUUUCUUUGUUUCUGUUUUCAUGUUUAAUUUAAAUUGUUGUUCAAUUAUGUUAGACAUGUGGAACUAAUUUCUUUUUAGUUAGAGGUGAAUUUG